AACCCAUGGUGAGGGCACCUUCUCAAUAAAUCCUUAUACCUCGCUCAUGCAUCAUAUAGGGUUUCUAAGUCCAUUUGCACAAAAGAAGAGAUAUCAUUCCUCAACUU
rfam:Gossypium hirsutum cultivar TM-1 unplaced genomic scaffold scaffold2595.1, whole genome shotgun sequence